rnacentral:rRNA from 1 species
GCGUGCAUUAGGCAUGCAAGUGGAACGAACUGACUUCGGUUAGUAAGUCGCGAACGGCUGAGUAACACGUAGGAAUCUAUCCCUUGGCGGGGAAUACCUGCUCGAAAGAGUAGUUAAUACCGCAUAAGAUUUAACAAUGAAAGGACGUAACUGUCCACCGAGGGAGGAGCCUGCGGCCCAUCAGCUAGUUGGUAGGGUAAAAGCCUACCAAGGCUACGACGGGUAGGGGGCGUGAGAGCGUGUUCCCCCAGAAAGGCACUGAGACACGGGCCUUACACCUACGGGUGGCAGCAACCGGGAAUCGUGCGCAAUGGACGAAAGUCUGACGCCGCGACGCCGCGUGAGGGAUGAAGGCCUUAGGGUCGUAAACCUCUUUUGCCAGAAGGGAGACCGACUGGAGAAUAAGCACCCGCUAACUACGUGCCAGCAGCUGCGGUAAUACGUAGGGUGCAAGCGUUGUCCGGAUUUAUUGGGCGUAAAGAGUUCGUAGGCUUCCUAGUAAGUUAUGUUUCAAAGACCGGGGCUCAACCUCGGAAAGGGGCAUAAUACUGUUAGGAUUGAAGGAUGUCGGGGUUACUGGAAUUGUCGGUGUAGGGGGUGAAAUCCGUUGAUAUCGACAAGAACACCAAGGGCGAAGGCGGGUAACUAGGCAUUUCUUGACGCUGAGGAACGAAAGCUAGGGGAGCGAAAGCGAUUAGAGACCGCUGUAGUCCUAGCCGUAAACGAUGCUCGCUAGGGAUGGGGGAUUUAUUUUUCCGUCUCGUAAGCUAACGCGUUAAGCGAGCCGCCUGGGGAGUACGGUCGCAAGACUAAAACUCAAAGGAAUUGACGGGGACCUGCACAACCAGUGGAGCAUGUGGUUUAAUUCGAGACGAACCGAAGAACCUUACC